UACGUAGGGUGCAAGCGUUGCCCGGAAUUAUUGGGCGUAAAGAGCUCGUAGGCGGUCAGUCGCGUCUGCUGUGAAAACUCGGGGCUUAACUCCGGGCCUGCAGUGGGUACGGGCUGACUAGAGUGCGGUAGGGGAGACUGGAAUUCCUGGUGUAGCGGUGAAAUGCGCAGAUAUCAGGAGGAACACCGGUGGCGAAGGCGGGGUCUCUGGGCCGUAACUGACGCUGAGGAGCGAAAGCGUGGGGAGCGAACAGG
rnacentral:rRNA from 1 species